CUAAGAAAAGAUUACCUUUCUGAACAUAAUAAUAAUGUUUUUAUUUCAAGUAUCCAUGACUCAUAUAAAUUGUUAAUAAGUAGAAAUAUAAUAUAAAUAUAAAUAUAAAGUUAACAAUACUGCAUGCGCUAAGAGUAAGUGAGAUAAACUACAUGUUUAUAUACUGAGCAAUGAAAAUAAGUACAUAUCGUUAUGAGUUUAAGGACUAUUUUGUAUUGCAUUUUUUACAUGUCAAAGAUGCUAGUGGGAAUUUUUAAAUGCAUUACUUUUUAAUGUUUGAAACUUCAUUUCUUGAUUCAACUAAAGAUUCUUCUCAAAAUAAAAUAGCGCAUUUUUACAUUAUUGGAAUAAAACCGGUGAGCUUUAUCUUCAUUAUUUUAAUUAUUUUAUUUUCUGUUUCCUUCGAAUUAGUUGGUUUUAAAACGAUGAUUUGAAAAACGGAAGUAGUUGACAUUGUUUACCAAUUUAAUAAAUUAAAAUAUUUUUAUACAAUUGAAACGAAAUACUGCUAGAACUAAACUAAGUGUUUUUACGUAAUAAAUUAUGACGACAAUAUAUUUUUGCGGUGGUAUUUAUUUAUCUUCUCAGAACUUCGCAAAUAUUAUAUAAAUAAAAGUUUGAUUUUUGAAUUGAAAUUACUUUACAAAAGGUACAUGGAUUAUAAUUUAAAUCAUUUUGAAUAGUCAAAGAUCAUAGGGACCACCGACAAGCUUUUUUCAUCUAUUAGGUCUGACUUGAGUACUUACAGUGUAGUUCUUGUGACUUGUGUUAUUAUUACGUGUUUUGUUUCUAAGAAAUUAUUAGAAAAGACCCUACACUAAUCUAAAUCCUAUUGUUUUCUUUCCUGAUUUUAAUAGCCAUUGAAGACAAAUGUGGAUACCUAUUCAAAUUGUUUACAAUACAGCUUAGCCGGUCGUUCUAACAGAUCUAAUUCUCCGAAAUAUUAGUUAAAUGUGGUCGUUAUAUGAGGUAUGUCGUUAUUAGCAAUGUCGUAUAAAGCAAUGUUUUUAAUAAGGCGGUCAUAUAGCAUUCAGCCGGGAUCUUUGCUCUAGGUUAUUAUAACCGGUAUGUUGUUCUAAACGAUGUCGCAGUAAACGGUUUUGACUGCAGUUUAUUGUUAUUUUAGUGUCUACAUUAUGAUGCACCGCAAACGAGCAUUGUGGUCUGAAAAUGACUUGGUUUUGGCUGUCCAAGCAGUAAGAAGAGGAAUGCUGAGCACAUAUAAAGCUGCUGAGAGGUAUAAAGUUCCCAGGAGAACCAUUAGAAACCAUUUCCAGACCGGAAGCUUGAAAAUAACACUAGGUCAAAAAUCUAUUCUCAGUGACGACCAGGAAGCUUGUUAGCAGAACUAUGAGGUUUGCUGAAGUAGGUUUGCUUGUGACACCACGAAUUCUCCGACGGCUGGUCUAUAAAUUUUGUGAGCUUAAUAAGGUGAAGCAUAACUUUAAUCAACAUGCUGGAGUAGCUGUUGGAGUAAAAUAUUGGUUUAAAGCAUUUAUAAAAAGACAUCCGGAAAUAUCUAGAAGAAAAGCUCAGGUUAUUAACCCAGCCAGGGUACAAAAGCUUAACAAAUUUAUCGUUAAUGAUCACUUCAACAAACUGAAAUUUGUGUAAAUGCACUUGGUACUGCUAUACCACCAAUGAUUCAUAUGUAAAGGUAAACGAUUGAAGCCAGAAUUAUAUGACAAUUUGCCACCGGGUUCUUUACUAAAAAAAUCUGGAAAGGGUUAUAUGACUAAUGAACUUUUUAAACAAUUUCUGAAGCACCUAGCCAGAUAUAAAAGUGCAGGAAAGUUCCUUUUAAUAUUUGACGAGCAGCAGCUUGUCACUUAGACUUAACCAUCGUUGAAAUCGCAGAUUCACUCGACAUAUCAUUAUAUUGUUUACCUUCGAAUACCACUCACGAACUGCAACCCCUAGAUAAAGCUGUCUAUCGAUCAUUUGGACACCACUGGUGUAACACCAGAAAAUUUCCUUUCAAUUAAUUUAAACAAUUUUUUUUAAUUAACGCCAUCUAGCCUUUGUACGUGGCGCAGUGUGGAGAAUCCGAUUUUUAAGGUUCGCUCACUCGACACUGCAAGUCGUGACUGGGCGUUUUGUAUGUUGUUCGACGACAAAAUUUGCACAUCACUGGCAUGCAAAAUCUUCGAGAAACGACACAUUAUUAAUAUUAAAGGACAAGUUCACUUUGUCCAAUUCUCAUUCGUGUAACAUCUCUCGAGCUGCGAGUUGAUUUUGUUCAUUGACAUUUACCAAAGUCAGUUUCAUUAAUCCUUGGUGACGUGUGUUAAACUAGGGUAAGUUUAUUUGAAUUAUUCUCCACACUGUGUUCACAAUCUUUAAUUAAAUAAAUUUUAUAAAUUUUAAACGGUAUGUCUUGAUACGUAGGUCCUUAUAACUGGUACAAAAUAUGUACUCCAGUUAGGGUGCGGAGCGUGACCUUCUGAUCACCUUCGGAAUCCCAUAGCACCUUUCUAUAUGGACGCUGCCAGAAGCGGGGAGCUCUAGUAAGUCGGUCCAAGGAAGGCUGCUUGACUUCGGUAGACAUAGAACACACCCGCAUUCCCAGCCUCGCUCGCAGACAGCAACCCCGGGUGCUGGGAAGUGAUCCCGGUGAAGCGUAUUGCUUCUUUUAUUAGUAUUAAAACUUUCUCGAGUGUUCGGUGUAUCUACCGACACACCAUCUUUAUUAAUUGCAAUAUUGUAACUGUUUUAACCUCUCACUAGUAUUAUCUACUCGUAUUAUUGUAAAUUUUUGUAACUUAUUUUAUACUUGUAAAUUUGGGUCAAAUAAACACAAUCUUGUUAAUUUUAAUUGUUUUUUUUAUUGGUGUAAGUCUCCCAGAGCGGUAAGUGGUGGCGCCCUGAGAUCCUCCUCACCGAGUCUCCUGUUCACCGGUUGUCUACCGGUGGCGACGUGUCUAGAAGUGGUGCGACUCGGCCCCGUGUCUCUCGACCACCUUUUGGGGAGUGACGCGACUGGGCCUCAUGUAACAUCGGCAUACCCAGGGGCACCCUCAGACACAGACACAGACACGUUAUACUGGGAUGCAGAAAUUUUAUCAUUUAUAAAACAAAACCCAGACAAAAAGUUCACUAAGGCACGGUUUAAUGUUAUUCUUUCCAAUGUCUGGUCCAAAUGCAUCACUCAUAAUAAUAUUACAAGCGGCAUUAAAACCCUGGUUUAUAUCCAUUGAAUCCACAGGCUAUUCUAAAAACAGCUUUUGUUCCAUCUUUAUUGAUAGAAGUUCCAGGUCUUGUAGUUGCCACAGUUGAUAAAGAAAAUUCGCAACCUCGCAUCUCUCCCAAACCAAUGAUCCCAAGAAGAAAGAAUUGAUAGAACCGUAAACAGACGAUAAAAGUGGCAAUUUUUUUAAAUAUUUUAUAGUAAUUGAUCUGUAGGUUUAAUUGGUAUUACAAUUUGUUGAUUAGUAUACAUAGUUUUUAUUUUAUUUCAAAUCUCCCUUCGUAUGUCGUAUUGUUACAUAUGCCCCUCAAUAAUAACAUAAUAUAAAUAAUAAUGCCGACUAAGGCAUUCUUGAAUGCAUUGUCUCUAUAUAAAGACGAUAUAUUGCUAAAACACGACAGAACAGAUUUGGCUUGAGUAGCGGAAACACACAUCAUUUGUACUACUUCUUUAAUAAAAUAAACUCAGUGCCAGUCAUCAUGUCCUUUUUUAAAAAGAGCUCCUGGACCCACCCCGUAACAGUGGUGUCAGAAGUGGGAUAGUUAGUACGUUACACUGGCUAUCCGGAUUGUCUUGAGCUCUUGAUUCCACGUUGCGCUCAUUGCCGCUGCUGUCAUCAUCAAUAUCGUCAAGAAAGAAAACUUGCAAAAAUCUAUAAUAUCAUCUUCAACAUCUUCAAAAUAUCUUCAACAUCAUCUUUAACAUCGUCAAGAAAGAAAACUUACAAAAAUCUGCCACAUCAUACCCGCUCGUGCCGGACGAGUGUCCGCACGGAGUUGUGAGUCCGCACGGGUAGGUACCACCGCCCCGCCUAUUUCUGCCGUGAAGCAAUAAUGCGUUUCGGUUUGAAGGGUGGGGCAGCCGUUGUAACUAUACUGAGAUCUUAGGACUUAUAUCUCAAGGCGUGUGGCGCAUUUACGCUGUAGAUGUCUAUGGGCUCCAGUAACCACUUAACACUAGGUGGGCUGUGAGCUCGUCCACACAUCUAAGCAAUAAAAAAUAAAAAAAAGUACCCGUGAAAAUUCAAGCCGCUGAUUCGUCCCCACUGCACCAGUUCCUGCUGACUCGUUCCUGCUAAGCCGGUUCCUGCCGUUUGCGACAGUAAGACUUCCAGUAUAAGCCUGCCAAACGCUUUGCUUUUUUUUUUUUUUUUAUUGCCCUUGUAGGCAGACGAGCAUACGGCCCACCUGAUGGUGAGUGGUUACCGUCGCCCAUGGACUUCAGCAAUGCCAGGGGCAGAGCCAAGCCGCUGCCUGCCGUCCCAUCAUCCGUGCGUUCUCUGAUGAAGUUAACAGCUCUCAUAUUCUUGCGGUGAGUGAAUCAAUCGUCUCGUAUAACUACUACAUUUUAUAGUUGAUCUUCUUUGUGCUAGUGUCUGUUUGUUUUGUUACUGUCAAAAGCCAAUACUAAUACUCGUAAUAUCAUAAUGUCUACUAAAAGUGAAAUAGUCUUGUGCGAACAAUACCCUAUUCAAGUACUUUGUAAUUUUAUCAAUCCAUAUAAUGGAAGUCGGGAAACCCUUACGGCCUUCUUGGCUAACUGUCAGAAUGCCUUAGAUCUCGCAUCAGACAGUCAAAAAAGACUUACUGAAAUUUAUAAUUUCAUAGCUAAAAGGAAAAGCCAGAAUAGCAUGCUCAAAUAAAAUAUUCGAUAACUUCGAAUCGUUGAGAGAAUUUUUUCGUCAAAAUUUUGGAGAAACUAAACACUACAGUCAUCUAUCUAUUUUUCGAUUUGCAAUCAUGUAAACAACGUGCUGAUGAAUCUGUGUCUGGAUUUUCUUUACGAAUCGAUACCUGCCUAACCGAGAUGCAGACCGAAAUCCAAUACAUAAUUCUAAUACAUCAAAAAAAGACCUAUCAGGUCGUAGUGCCAUAACAGAAGACCUUUUUUUUUUUUCGGGUAGAGGGCCGAACCUCCUACGAGGUCCCCGCGCAAAAGGGGCGCGCGGGGUAUGUGAGACUCAACGAUCUGCAUGGUGUUGUGAGCAGAGCGCGGGCCCAAGGGUUUUAGGGCCCACCCACUAAACCCUCUCUCGCUCCGCCGCCUCCUUCUGCGAGAUGGUGGACUCGCAGAAGUCGAGCAUCACCUUCCAGGACGCGUCGCUGCCGAGCAUCGUAGCCACGACGCGCGGCAGCGAGAGGUCCUCUCCCUAUGACAGCGACGAGGGCGGCGAGUUGCUCGUCGAAUCCAGAGCAACGCGCCAGUGUGUGUUCCGCUGUGUCAUCCUCGUCGCGGUUCGCGCUGUGGUCGCCGUCGGUUCCCUUCCGGCUAUUUUGAAAAGGUACCGGCCAAAACACCCAUGGCCGGUCAACAUCUGCGUCAGCCGGAAGGUGAGGCAUCCGCGGUCGCGGCCCACCCAGUCCGCGAGAACCGGGCGGACCGCCUCGACGGUACGGAUGCCGGCCGACGGGUCCGCCAAGCGGCGAGACCACGCCUCCAGCACGGACCGUCGAGAUUGGAGCCUCCGCGCUCGAAUUACUCCUUCGCCAGGGCGCCCUUCCCCCCUAGAGCGGAGGUCGCGACGCCACCUGUAAUCGGCAGCGAGCGCCUCCGCCUCCAGGUCCCAGGGUGGCGCCCCGGCGAGCAAGCACGCCGCCUCGAAGGAGACGGUGCGGUAUCCUCGGAUCGCCCUGACCACGAUCGCGCGCUGCGCCGCGACGUUCUGGCGGGUCAGGGCCUGGCACUAUACCGGAGCACCUUAUAGUGCCAUCGACCGCACCACCCCCAUGUAUAGGCGGUAAUUUAGGUGGACAAAGUGUUAGUUGCAAUAAACAUAUAUAUUAAAACAAUUACUUAGUAUUAGAAAACAAAAAAAAAUCUAUGGCAAAUAACAUUUAUUUCUUUUACAGUGUGUUAGUUUAAUACAUAAAUAUAAAACAAUUUAAAGUAUAAAAAGCUUAUUCGAAGUGGUCUCCAUUGGCUGCAAUACAGUCCUUUAAACGUUGAGGCCAGUUAUCAAUAGAAGCACGCACCCUUUCCAUGGGAAAAAUUUUCACUGCCAAUUGUACGGAUUGUUUUAGAGACUCCAAAUUAUUAUGGCGUUUAGAGCAAGCCGUACUCUCUAAAACUGACCAUAAAUCAUAAUCCAGCGGAUUAAGAUCGGGACUAGACGACGGCCAAUCUUCAGCUCUGAUGAAGUCCGAAACGUUCGUUUCCAAGCAAGACUGCGUAGACCUGGCGCCGAGUCUUGCUGGAAGGACCAUUCUUGAUUAUUGAACAUGGUGUUGUUAAAGAGCUUCACUACCUUCUCAAGAAUGGUAUCUUGAUACACUUGUGCCGAUGUUUUGUUAUCUUUUUCACAAAAGUAUGGCUCAGUCAGUCCUUCAUAGCUAAUCCCCACCAAACCAUCACUGAAGUCGGAUAGCGCCCACGUUGCACUCUGUCGAUUAAUUGGGAAGCUUCCUUAGAGCUUUGAGCAUAAAUACGGUCAUUUUGUUUGUUAAAAUGUUUCUCAAUUGUAAAAAUUUUCUCAUCCGUAUACAAAAUUUUUCUAUGACCGCUCUUUGCGUACCGCUUCAGUAGUUGUUUCUAUUUUACUACCCUAUUCUCUUUUAAAUUAUCAGUUAAGAAAUGACCAGCACGUCUCUUAUGGGCUGCAAGUCCUAUGUCAUCUUUUAAAAUACGCGACAUGGAUAGGUGCUAUCUUCAUCUCCCGAGAUAAAAUCUUUUGCUUUCGGACAGGAUUUCUUUGAAUUCUUUCCCUUACUGCUUUGACCACCUUUUUCGUACGAACACUACGUGGACGGCUAGAUCUUUUUCUGUCACAAACAGAGGAGGUCUCAUUGCACCCAUUAAUAGCCCGGUACACAAACAUUUUACUAAUACCAAGUGUAUGGAGAGUUUUAAAAAUUGCAUUUGGCUCCAUACCUACUUUGUGUAAUGCAAUCACAGCGAUUCGGUUCUCUUUAUCACCCCACUCCAUUUUAAUAUCGCAAAAUAUUGUACAAUGUAUUGGCGCCAAUAUGAGAAAACUCAAUGAGCAAUCAUAUAAAAAUGACAGAUUCCAAAUUCAAAUGUAAUAUAUUGUUUAUUUUUAAUUGUAACAAUAUUUAUGGCCAGACUAAGUAUAUGGUUACUAUAUACGGGACGAAUUGCCUACUUUGAAAAAACUUGCCGCGUCUCUCAAAGACACCGGCUUGGAAAGGAAGCUUGCCGUCUCUAACGAAGAUAUUGACAAAUAUUGGUUAUUGCUAUAAAAAAAGUGCCAAAGUAAAAUUAUGAUGAUACUGCACAAUCAACCACCAAAGUACCCGACGGCAUAGGUUAAAGUAAUCAUCACUCUGAAUUGUGGGACGUCAUCUGGUUUUGUGCCAUUACCUAUUGGCAUCCAAAUAAACCAAAACUACUAAACUAAAUACCACGACGUAAUGAAUUUUAAGAAAUUUAAGGGGUGCUUUUUAAAAUUAUUAGACAAUUUGAAGGAGCCACAUUGUAUUAUUAUGGAUAACGCUCCACAUCACUCGGCCUAACAGCACAAACUAAUUUCGCCAAGUAGAAAAUCAGAAAUCAUUGCAUUGAAGUGUGUAUACUUAUAUAUUAUAGCAUAGCAUAGCAUAGUAUUAGCAUAGCAUUUAGUAUAUAACAUAAUUAAUAGGUGUGUAGUCUCGCAUGUCACCCUAAUAAGGCGGACCACCCAGAAACAUAAGACUUCUUCAUAAUUGUAAACUAGGAUUAAGAUGGUUAUUAAACAUGGAAUACACGCAAGAAGACGUUUUCCUUUAACGCCUCCCAAAGUACAACAUUACAUGGCGACCAUGCCAAACGGUUAAUUUUGUCAGUUCAAAUUAAAAUUAAAAGCAGUGAAUAAAAUGUGUCAGUCAUCUCAGUCAAAAGAAAAAUAUAAUAAUCGGGCAAAACGCAGCUGGGGCCAGUUCCAGAAUUAAUCUAGAAGAUUUGCAUAUACAAGUUGGAAUUUUCAACAUUCUUCUCGGGUUCGUUCUGUUAAUUUUAUUUUUGGGCAUGCUAUACGGAGGUUAUGUCCUAUACAAGCGAUGCCAUAGAACACCGACGUGAAGUUGGCGCUGUUUGCCGACGACAGCGCCUACUUCGCGUCAUCCAACUUCCCCUCUGCGGCCAUUUCGAGGAUGCAGAGGUUAUUGGACUUACUGCCCCAGUGGCUGGACCGAUGGAGGGUCGCGGUCAACGUGGGGAAGACUGCGGCUAUUCUCUUCGGUCCGGUCCGCACAACAGUCGUCCCGGGACAGCUCAGUCUCCGUGUCGCUAAUGUCGAGUUUAGAUCCAGCGUCCGGUACUUGGGAGUCGAUAUCGACCGGAGUUUGAGGAUGACCGUCACGCCAUGUCGGAGUUGGCGGCCGCUCGCUAUGCAAGAUUCCUCCUCCGGCCGGUGUUGGCCUCCAGGUUGCCGGUCAUGACUAAGCUCGGCAUUUAGAAGACGUAUGUCCGUUCCCAUAUCACGUACGCAGCUGCGGCCUGGUAUCACCUCAUCCCGCAAGGUAUGCGGGAGAGGUUACAUCCCGGGACAGCUCAGUCUCCGUGUCGCUAAUGUCGAGUUUAGAUCCAGCGUCCGGUACUUGGGAGUCGAUAUCGACCGGAGUUUGAGGAUGACCGUCACGCCAUGUCGGAGUUGGCGGCCGCUCGCUAUGCAAGAUUCCUCCUCCGGCCGGUGUUGGCCUCCAGGUUGCCGGUCAUGACUAAGCUCGGCAUUUAGAAGACGUAUGUCCGUUCCCAUAUCACGUACGCAGCUGCGGCCUGGUAUCACCUCAUCCCGCAAGGUAUGCGGGAGAGGUUACAGGUCCAGCAAAAUCUGGCUCUUCGCACGAUAGUAGGAGCAAGGCGUUACGUCAGAAAUGCCGUAAUCGCCCGGGAUCUGGAUGUGGAGUCGCUCGGAGUUCAUCCGGAGGCUAGCUCGUAAUCUUUACGAGCGGGCUGACGGUGGACCCCACGAGCAUCUCCACAAUUUAGCUCCCUUGCACGCCAGACCACCUGAUGGUCGGGCGCUACCAAGGGAGCUACUGGAACCCCCUUCUAUGGUAAGAUAGUCGGCUUAACCGGAGUGAUAUGGGAGUGCUCAUAAUGAGUGCCCCCAUGGGACUGAGCUGUCCACACUCGUCACUUCCCCCCCACACUGUUGGGGUGCCCCCCUAUGGGGACCCAUUUUCCACCCCCGAGGGUGGACCACUCCCCCGUUUGGGGAGUGUUUUAAGUCGGCCCCUCCCCGUGACGGACUUCCCCUUCUGGGGAGCCCGGAGCAGGUGAGCGCCUUACUAGUGCCGCGGCUCCCCCUCUGGUUUGUAGAGGUGGGGCCGGUGGCGGGCCCCACGAUUGCUGACUGUUGUCCCUGUUUGUAAAUAGUAGUUUAGUUAGUAUUAGUUUAGUUGUAGUUAGUUUUAGUUAAUCUUAAGGGAAAAAAAUAAUAGAAUAGGACACUGAGGACAGCAGCCGGCGCCGGGGUGACACCGCCGCGGGCAUCAAGCCGUCACCAGACAGCCCAUCGUAUUAUGUAUAUGUAUAUAUCAUUUUGUCGAUGUAGUGCAGCCGUGCGCGCUGCGAACAGCGUACCUCCCCUAUUACUCCCUGCAUUAUCUUCACCCCUGCCCUGAGCGUCUGCCUGGGCAAUGGGGUUUGCCCCGAGGCCCGUUCCGUGCCCCCGUCAGGGGGUACGACGACCCCUCUUGCUUGCCAUAGAACAUGGAUUCACUAGGAAGUGAACUCUCUGGCGUUGCAGCGGGCUACGAGUAUAAUACGAUGAGCUCAAAAAUCAUCCGACGAGAGAGGUGAAUAAAAACUAAAGUUACGCUGCCAGACACAACACAACACCGCCUUUCACGGAAAAUAAAAUGUUGCAGUUAUAUAAUAUAAAAAGUGUGGUCGAUAAUGUAUUUGCAGAAGACUCGAAGAAGGUGGUAACGAAAUGCAGAAAACAAAUUGAAGAAGAUUGGGAGCAGGACGUCCUAUUUGAUAAUAUUUGCGAACAAGACUUUAUCAUAAAUUUACAAGAUUUUUCUAGCGAUUUAGAAACUGAUUCAGAGGAUUUGGUGUGUACUCCUUUAUGAAAAUAAAUGUAUUUUAUACUAAA